UAUAGAUGGAUCCGCGCUGCAUUAGCUAGUUGGUAAGGUAACGGCUUACCAAGGCAACGAUGCAUAGCCGACCUGAGAGGGUGAUCGGCCACACUGGAACUGAGACACGGUCCAGACUCCUACGGGAGGCAGCAGUAGGGAAUCUUCCGCAAUGGGCGAAAGCCUGACGGAGCAACGCCGCGUGAGUGAUGAAGGUCUUCGGAUCGUAAAACUCUGUUAUUAGGGAAGAACAUAUGUGUAAGUAACUGUGCACAUCUUGACGGUACCUAAUCAGAAAGCCACGGCUAACUACGUGCCAGCAGCCGCGGUAAUACGUAGGUGGCAAGCGUUAUCCGGAAUUAUUGGGCGUAAAGCGCGCGUAGGCGGUUUUUUAAGUCUGAUGUGAAAGCCCACGGCUCAACCGUGGAGGGUCAUUGGAAACUGGAAAACUUGAGUGCAGAAGAGGAAAGUGGAAUUCCAUGUGUAGCGGUGAAAUGCGCAGAGAUAUGGAGGAACACCAGUGGCGAAGGCGACUUUCUGGUCUGUAACUGACGCUGAUGUGCGAAAGCGUGGGGAUCAAACAGGAUUAGAUACCCUGGUAGUCCACGCCGUAAACGAUGAGUGCUAAGUGUUAGGGGGUUUCCGCCCCUUAGUGCUGCAGCUAACGCAUUAAGCACUCCGCCUGGGGAGUACGACCGCAAGGUUGAAACUCAAAGGAAUUGACGGGGACCCGCACAAGCGGUGGAGCAUGUGGUUUAAUUCGAAGCAACGCGAAGAACCUUACCAAAUCUUGACAUCCUUUGACAACUCUAGAGAUAGAGCCUUCCCCUUCGGGGGACAAAGUGACAGGUGGUGCAUGGUUGUCGUCAGCUCGUGUCGUGAGAUGUUGGGUUAAGUCCCGCAACGAGCGCAACCCUUAAGCUUAGUUGCCAUCAUUAAGUUGGGCACUCUAAGUUGACUGCCGGUGACAAACCGGAGGAAGGUGGGGAUGACGUCAAAUCAUCAUGCCCCUUAUGAUUUGGGCUACACACGUGCUACAAUGGACAAUACAAAGGGCAGCGAAACCGCGAGGUCAAGCAAAUCCCAUAAAGUUGUUCUCAGUUCGGAUUGUAGUCUGCAACUCGACUACAUGAAGCUGGAAUCGCUAGUAAUCGUAGAUCAGCAUGCUACGGUGAAUACGUUCCCGGGUCUUGUACACACCGCCCGUCACACCACGAGAGUUUGUAACACCCGAAGCCGGUGGAGUAACCUUUUAGGAGCUAGCC
rnacentral:rRNA from 1 species